GUGCUUGCUUCAGCAGUUCAUGUACUAAAACUGGAAAGAUGCAGAGAAGAUUGGCAUGGCCCCUGCAGAAAGAUAACACCCAAAUUCCUCAAGCAUCCCAAAUUCUG